AUUGAACGCUGGCGGCAGGCUUAACACAUGCAAGUCGAGCGAGCGGCAGACGGGAGAGUAAUGUCUGGGAAACUGCCUGAUGGAGGGGGAUAACUACUGGAAACGGUAGCUAAUACCGCAUACCCUCAGAUGUGCCCAGAUGGGAUUCUCUAGUAGGUGGGGUAAUGGCGCACGUAGGCGACGAGCCCUAGCUGGUCUGAGAGGAUGACCAGCCACACUGGAACGGAGACACGGUCCAGACUCCUGCGGGAGGCAGCAGUGGGGAAUAUUGCACAAGGGGCGCAAGCCUGAUGCAGCCAUGACGCGUGUGUGAAGAAGGCCUUCGGGUUGUAAAGCACUUUCAGCGAGGAGGCGGUACUCGCAGAAGAAGCACCGGCUAACUCCGUGCCAGCAGCCGCGGUAAUUC
rnacentral:rRNA from 1 species